GAGCUUGCUCUCUUGAAGUUAGUGGCGAACGGGUGAGUAACGCGUAAUCAACCUGCCCUUCAGAGGGGGAUAACAACGGGAAACCGUUGCUAAUACCGCGUACGAUUCAUGAACGGCAUCGUUUAUGAAUGAAAGGUGGCCUCUAUGUAUAAGCUAUCGCUGAAGGAGGGGAUUGCGUCUGAUUAGCUAGUUGGAGGGGUAACGGCCCACCAAGGCAAUGAUCAGUAGCCGGCCUGAGAGGAUGAACGGCCACAUUGGGACUGAGACACGGUCCAAACUCCUACGGGAGGCAGCAGUGGGGAAUCUUCCGCAAUGGACGAAAGUCUGACGGAGCAACGCCGCGUGAGUGAUGAAGGUCUUCGGAUUGUAAAGCUCUGUUAAUCGGGACGAAAGAGUUCUGUGUGAAUAAUGCAGAAAAGUGACGGUACCGGAAUAGAAAGCCACGGCUAACUACGUGCCAGCAGCCGCGGUAAUACGUAGGUGGCAAGCGUUGUCCGGAAUUAUUGGGCGUAAAGCGCGCGCAGGCGGCCUAUCCAGUCUGUCUUAAAAGUUCGGGGCUCAACCCCGUGAUGGGAUGGAAACUAGUAGGCUAGAGUAUCGGAGAGGAAAGCGGAAUUCCUAGUGUAGCGGUGAAAUGCGUAGAUAUUAGGAAGAACACCAGUGGCGAAGGCGGCUUUCUGGACGAAAACUGACGCUGAGGCGCGAAAGCCAGGGGAGCGAACGGGAUUAGAUACCCCGGUAGUCCUGGCCGUAAACGAUGGGUACUA
rnacentral:rRNA from 1 species